rnacentral:lncRNA from 1 species
GGAAGGAGACGCGUCCGCGUGAGGACGAGGCGAUUUGAAAACACGCUCUGGGAGCGAGCGGAAAGCCUGCGGCCGGCGGUUCACGGCGUGCUCCUGCGGGGCUUGACGGUCGCUCGCUCUCCGCCGCGUCUCCGCGUUCCGGGUCCGUCCGGGCUCUCAGGUGAGCGGCGUCUGUCUGUCCUGCACGGCUCUUCUGGGGCGCGGACACGCGAGGCCCAGGCGGAGGGACGGACUGUGGCGGCGGGUAGGGCGGCCGGGGUCCUAGCUGUCCCCCCACCCCGAGCGUGAGAGCCGGCCGAGGGGCUUCCGAAACGCCUCAAGCGGCCGCGGUCCGAUUCGGAGGCUCGGCGGGUGUUAGGCCGGCGUGUGGGGGUCGGGCCAGAGACUCCACUCGACGUCCACUGAGGUAUAGGAACCAUGGUUUUUCUUUGG